rnacentral:rRNA from 1 species
UGGGGAAUUUUGGACAAUGGGCGAAAGCCUGAUCCAGCAAUGCCGCGUGUGUGAAGAAGGCCUUCGGGUUGUAAAGCACUUUUGUCCGGAAAGAAAUCCUUGGCUCUAAUACAGUCGGGGGAUGACGGUACCGGAAGAAUAAGCACCGGCUAACUACGUGCCAGCAGCCGCGGUAAUACGUAGGGUGCAAGCGUUAAUCGGAAUUACUGGGCGUAAAGCGUGCGCAGGCGGUUUGCUAAGACCGAUGUGAAAUCCCCGGGCUCAACCUGGGAACUGCAUUGGUGACUGGCAGGCUAGAGUAUGGCAGAGGGGGGUAGAAUUCCACGUGUAGCAGUGAAAUGCGUAGAGAUGUGGAGGAAUACCGAUGGCGAAGGCAGCCCCCUGGGCCAAAUACUGACGCUCAUGCACGAAAAGCGUGGGGAGCAAAACAGGAUUAGAUACCCUGGUAGUCCACGCCCUAAAACGAUGUCAACUAGUUGUUGGGGAUUCAUUUCCUAGUAACGUAGCUAACGCGUGAAGUUGACCGCCUGGGGAGUACGGUCGCAAGAUUAAAACUCAAAGGAAUUGACGGGGUCAUAGCUG